rnacentral:rRNA from 1 species
AACGAACGCUGGCGGCAGGCUUAACACAUGCAAGUCGAGCGCCCAGCAAUGGGAGCGGCGGACGGGUGAGUAACACGUGGGAAUAUGCCUUUCGGUACGGAACAACUCAGGGAAAAUUGAGCUAAUGCCGUAUACGCCCUUACGGGGAAAGAUUUAUCGCCGAAAGAUUAGCCCGCGUCUGAUUAGCUUGUUGGUGAGGUAACGGCUCACCAAGGCGACGAUCAGUAGCUGGUUUGAGAGAACGACCAGCCACACUGGGACUGAGACACGGCCCAGACUCCUACGGGAGGCAGCAGUGGGGAAUCGUGGACAAUGGGGGAAACCCUGAUCCAGCCAUGCCGCGUGAGUGAUGAAGGCCUUCGGGUUGUAAAACUCUUUCGACGGGGACGAUAAUGACGGUACCCGUAGAAGAAGCUCCGGCUAACUUCGUGCCAGCAGCCGCCGUAAGAC